CGAAGCUUGAUCAUCCAAGACACCUUAACCAUCAUUCAAGCUACUCCACCCUCAAGCUGAUCAUCAUCUAGGCAAGUAGCUUGUGUGUGCUCUUUUCCUAACCUUUGGUUUUGUCCCACUGGGUUUUCCAAAGGAAGGUUUUUAACGAGGCCACAAGUCUACUUCUCCUAUCUCCUAGAUGAUUGAUCUUGGUCUGUCCACAUG
rnacentral:lncRNA from 1 species